GACGAACGCUGGCGGCGUGCCUAAUACAUGCAAGUCGAGCGAGACUCUUCGGAGUCUAGCGGCGGACGGGUGAGUAACACGUGGGCAACCUGCCUGUAAGACUGGGAUAACACCGGGAAACCGGUGCUAAUACCGGAUAAUCCUUUUCUUCUCAUGAGGAAAAGCUGAAAGUCGGUUUCGGCUGACACUUACAGAUGGGCCCGCGGCGCAUUAGCUAGUUGGUGAGGUAACGGCUCACCAAGGCGACGAUGCGUAGCCGACCUGAGAGGGUGAUCGGCCACACUGGGACUGAGACACGGCCCAGACUCCUACGGGAGGCAGCAGUAGGGAAUCUUCCACAAUGAACGAAAGUCUGAUGGAGCAACGCCGCGUGAGCGAUGAAGGCCUUCGGGUCGUAAAGCUCUGUUGUUAGGGAAGAACAAGUACCGGAGUAACUGCCGGUACCUUGACGGUACCUAACCAGAAAGCCACGGCUAACUACGUGCCAGCCGCCGCGGUAAGAC
rnacentral:rRNA from 1 species